rnacentral:rRNA from 1 species
CCUACGGGGGGCAGCAGUGGGGAAUAUUGCGCAAUGGGCGAAAGCCUGACGCAGCGACGCCGCGUGAGGGAUGAAGGUCUUCGGAUCGUAAACCUCUGUCAGCAGGGAAGAACGGUCACUGUGCUAAUCAGCAGUGAAUUGACGGUACCUGCAAAGGAAGCACCGGCUAACUCCGUGCCAGCAGCCGCGGUAAUACGGAGGGUGCGAGCGUUAAUCGGAAUUACUGGGCGUAAAGCGCUCGUAGGCGGUAUGUCAAGUCAAGGGUGAAAUCCCCGCGCUCAACGUGGGAACUGCCUUUAAAACUGGCAAACUGGGGUGUGUGAGAGGAUAGUGGAAUUCCAGGUGUAGGAGUGAAAUCCGUAGAUAUCUGGAGGAACAUCAGUGGCGAAGGCGACUAUCUGGCACAUAACUGACGCUGAGGAGCGAAAGCGUGGGUAGCAAACAGGAUUAGAUACCCUUGUAGUC